rnacentral:rRNA from 1 species
UUCCGGUUGAUCCUGCCAGAGGUCACUGCUAUCGGGGUUCGAUUAAGCCAUGCGAGUCGAGAGGGUUCGGCCCUCGGCGUACUGCUCAGUAACACGUGGAUAACCUGCCCUAGGGGAGGGGAUAACCCCGGGAAACUGGGGAUAAUACCCUAUAGGUUACAGAUGCUGGAAUGCCCUGUAACCAAAAGCUCCGGCGCCCUAGGAUGGAUCUGCGGCCGAUUAGGUUGUUGUUGGGGUAACGGCCCAACAAGCCCGUAAUCGGUACGGGUUGUGGGAGCAAGAGCCCGGAGUUGGAUUCUGAGACACGAAUCCAGGCCCUACGGGGCGCAGCAGGCGCGAAACCUUUACAAUGCGGGCAACCGUGAUAAGGGAACCUCGAGUGCCUGUAAACGCAGGCUGUUCAGGUGUUUAAAACGCACCUGGAGAAAGGGCCGGGCAAGACCGGUGCCAGCCGCCGCGGUAAUACCGGCGGCUCGAGUGGUGGCCGCUUUUAUUGGGCUUAAAGCGUUCGUAGCUGGGUUGUUAAGUCUCUUGGGAAAUCUGGCGGCUUAACCGUCAGGCGUCUAAGGGAUACUGGCAAUCUUGGAACCGGGAGAGGUGAGGGGUACUUCGGGGGUAGGGGCUAAACCCCGAAAAC